rnacentral:rRNA from 1 species
GAAAGUAUUCAAGGGCGCACGGCGGAUGCCUAGGCUCUUACAGGCGAUGAAGGACGUGAUAAGCUGCGACAAGCCGCGGUGAGGCGCAAAUGGCCAUUGACCCGCGGGUUUCCGAAUGGGGCAACCCAACGUUUUGAAGAAACGUUAUCCCGCGGAUGCGGGAGGCGAACGCGGGGAACUGAAACAUCUUAGUACCCGCAGGAGAAGAAAAUAAAGAAUGAUUCCCCCAGUAGUGGCGAGCGACCGGGGAAUAGCCCAAACCGGCGUUGUCCAGGCAUCGCCGGGGUUGUAGGACCGCGAUGUCGCAAGAGUGAUGGCGAGUGGAAGGAACUGGAAAGUUCCGCCAUAGAGGGUGACAGCCCCUUACACGAAGCCAUGCGAAGCGUAGCGGAAUCCUGAGUAGCGCGGGACACGUGUAAUCCUGUGUGAAUCAGCCGGGCCCAUCCGGCAAGGCUAAAUACUCGUAAGAGACCGAUAGUGAACCAGUACCGUGAGGGAAAGGUGAAAAGCACCCCUGUUAGGGGAGUGAAAAAGACCCUGAAACCGUGCGCCUACAAGCGGUCGGAGCGCCCAUUGGGCGUGACGGCGUGCCUUUUGCAUAAUGAACCUACGAGUUGCCGUCACCGGCAAGGCCAAGGGGCAUGAGCCCCGCAGCCGCAGCGGAAGCGAGUCUUAAAAGGGCGCUGUAGUCGGUGGUGGCAGACGCGAAACCGAGUGAUCUACACUUGUCCAGGAUGAAGUCCCGGUAACACGGGAUGGAGGUCCGCACCAAUAAGCGUUGAAAAGCUUCUGGAUGAGGUGAGUGUAGGAGUGAAAGGCCAAUCAAACUCGGAGAUAGCUCGUACUCCCCGAAAGGCAUUUAGGUGCCGCCUGUGGAGUUCCCGGCGCGAGGUAGAGCGACUGAUAGGAUGCGAGGGCUUCACCGCCUGUCAAGUCCUGACAAACUCCGAAUGCGCGCCGGCCAAUCCAUGGAGUAAGGGCACGGGUGCUAAGGUCCGUGCCCGAGAGGAGAAGAAUCCAGACCACCGGCCAAGGUCCCGAAAUGCUGGUUAAGUUAGACUAACGCAGUCCGUCCCCCCAGACAGCUAGGAUGUUGGCUUGGAAGCAGCCAUUCAUUCAAAGAGUGCGUAACAGCUCACUAGUCGAGGGGAUGGGCGUGGAUAAUAAUCGGGUAUGAAACCAGUUACCGAAGCCGUGGGAUAUGAGAAUAUCGGUAGGGGAGCAUUCCAUCCUGCGUCGAAGGCGCCGCGCGAGCGGCUCUGGAGCGGAUGGAAAAGCAAAUGUAGGUAUAAGUAACGAUAAGGAGGGUGCGAUCCCCUCCCGCCGAAAGACCAAGGUUUCCUGAACAACGCCAAUCGGUUCAGGGUGAGUCGGUCCCUAAGCAUAAGCCUAAGGGCGAGGGCGAUGGAUCAAACGGUUAAUAUUCCGUUACUGUCUUGGUGUGUGACGCGGCGACGGAGAAGUGACACGGCCGCCCCCUGACGGAAAAGGGGGUUUAAGCGCAAAGGUUACGAGGGAGGCAGGCAAGCCCACCUCCCGAGCCGAAGCGCGAAAGUACGCGGCGCCCUUCUGGGCAACGCGACAGCGCCGGUAACCAUGCUCCCGAGAAAACCCGCUAAACUCCAGCACCAAGUCAUCCGUACCGUAAACGGACACACGUGGUCGGGUAGAACAUACUAAGGCGCUUGGGAGAUUCACGGUUAAGGAACUAGGCAAAUUGACCCCGUACCUUCGGAACAAGGGGUCCUCGUGUAAACGAGGCGCAGAGAAUAGGUCCAGGCAACUGUUUAACAAAAACACAGGGCUGUGCAAAUUCGAAAGAAGCCGUAUACAGCCUGACACCUGCCCGGUGCCGGAAGGUUAAGAGGAGGGCUCAUACUUAUGUAGAAGGCCCGAAUUGAAGCCCCGGUAAACGGCGGCCGUAACUAUAACGGUCCUAAGGUAGCGAAAUUCCUUGUCGGGUAAGUUCCGACCUG